rnacentral:rRNA from 1 species
GACGAACGCUGGCGGCGUGCCUAAUACAUGCAAGUAGAACGCACAGUUUAUACCGUAGCUUGCUACACCAUAGACUGUGAGUUGCGAACGGGUGAGUAACGCGUAGGUAACCUGCCUGGUAGCGGGGGAUAACUAUUGGAAACGAUAGCUAAUACCGCAUAAUAUUGAUUAUUGCAUGAUAAUUGAUUGAAAGAUGCUAUUGCAUCACUACCAGAUGGACCUGCGUUGUAUUAGCUAGUAGGUGAGGUAACGGCUCACCUAGGCGACGAUACAUAGCCGACCUGAGAGGGUGAUCGGCCACACUGGGACUGAGACACGGCCCAGACUCCUACGGGAAGCAGCAGUAGGGAAUCUUCGGCAAUGGACGAAAGUCUGACCGAGCAACGCCGCGUGAGUGAAGAAGGUUUUCGGAUCGUAAAGCUCUGUUGUAAGAGAAGAACGGGUGUGAGAGUGGAAAGUUCACACUGUGACGGUAUCUUACCAGAAAGGGACGGCUAACUACGUG